CUCCAGGGCAGCAGCAGGCAACAACUCCCUGGCACAGUUAUAUGCCUAAGCCACUACCAUUAUAACCAGCUAGGAUGAGUGCAUGCCUCAGCCACUACGGCACUGAUUUGGAGUUCCACAUGUCUGAAUGCUGUGGGUCUUUUUGCUGUGGGCAGCCAUGGGUGCUUCUCCUCCUUCACUACUUCUGAGGGAUUGAUAACAACAUUUUGUGCUUUGCGAAUCUUGCUCUCUCUGGCUGUGCUGGUUAGCCUCUGCUUUUUCACAGAAGGAGUGAGCCCAGCUAAGUCUUUCCUUUUGAUUCAUGCAGGUUGUAAGGAAACACAGAGACAUCAAUGAAUUCUGAGAAAGAAAAUGACAGGCUGUGCUUCAGGAACAGGCUCCAAGCAGAAUGUCCCUCUUUGCUGCUGGUGCAUAGUGCACAGCAAGAGAAGAUCCCAUGUUUUCAGUUUGUUGCUACUUUCUAGUUCCCCCUACAGAGUCCAGACAGAUUGUGAGAAUCUGGCAUUUGACAUGUAAAUACUGUUGUGCCUAAUUUCUAACUACCAAAGUCUAUUACAGAUUCUUAAUCCUUUCCAUGGAAUUAUAUCUUAAUCUCUUUACCCUGGGAUUUAAGGUAAUAAUCUUGAGUUUUCUGGAAUAUCUUUGAUAUAAAACUCCGUUGGUUUUGCGUUGAACACGCCACAGGUAUAGUUAUUUAAAUUGCUCAAGAACACCUGGCCAAAAUUAAUUUCUUGGAAGAACUGGUAAUUCAAUUUCUUUGCAAUAAUCUGCUUGAAAAUAGGCAUGCAAAAUUUUAAUUUUAGUUUCCCUAAAAUCACAGCAUUCAAUAUAGAUACAUUAAGGAAUUUCAGUGGAGCAUGAGAUAAGCUCGAGAAAUGUGGAAUCCUUUAGAGUAACAUGUUUGUGCUAUCACUCAGCAGCUAAUUCCAUUUUUGAUGAUCUUGCCAAGAUGUUCAAACUACAUUAAUUAUAUCAAAUGCUUUGAUUGGUAUUUAAACUGUUUUCUCUUCCUUUCAAAAAGAUUGCCACUUUAACUGCCCAAGUGUAAAAUGCACUUGCAGAAGGGUUUGUGUGUGGCAAUGAGACACACUAAUCUUACCUGCUCAUUUAGUGAGGAUUCAGAUUUGUGUGUCUGAGAAUAGUGUGACGUGUCUGAGAUUAGUAUAAUGGUGCACUCUUGCUUGAAUUAUGCAGAAGUACUGCAUAAAAAAAAUAAUGCAUGGAGAUUAGUGUCAAAACUUCUUUUCAUUUAGCAGAUAAUAUCUUGAGGAGAGGGGUCUGAGGUUCAAAUUAGGAUAAUUGCAAUUAAUUGAAUGUAAUUUAGAAAGCAAAGUCUUUUAGAAAUGGUGGUCAGCUAAUGAGUAAUCCAAUACAUCUAGCAGAUGGAUUGUUGACUGCAAAGCAAUUAAUUUGAUGUUUCAGUGUCAUUUAUCUCUGUUUCCACAUAGCGAAGUGAACACUGGACUCCAAUGACAGGAAACAAGUAUGUGCCGGAAUUUUUUGGUGAUAUUAUCAUGCUCUGACUGGUUUAGUCAGUUUAGUUUUCAUUCCUUCUGGCACUUCACGACAGGACCAGAUCUUGUAUAAAUAGUAUUCAAACAAGCUUCUUACCAACAUUAAAAGGUAGCUUUAAGCAUAGAAGUUAUUUGUGCACCAAUGUAUAUUCGGUUGGUGUGGCAAGUUUUUAGUACUAGGGGUGCCAGGGGUGGCUUCAGACAGUAGAUGCUUGAAGCUUCCUACGUCCGACAGAGCCAGUUCCAGCUGGCUUCAAGACAGACUUGCCAGUGGCCAGGGCCGAGCCUGUCAGUGACGGUGGUAGUGCCUCAUUGGUAAAGUACUUAAGAAGGGGGUAAAAAAACCCUGCAAAACAGCAACUGCAGCUAAAGAAGAGAGGAGUGAGACUAUGUGAGAACCAACACUGCAGGCACCAAGCUCAGCAAAGAAGGAGGGUGAGGGCAUCUUGCAGGUACUGGAGCAGAGAUUCCACUGCAGCCUGUUCAUGAUCAGGCAGCUGUGCCUCUGCAGCCCAUAGAGUUCCAUGGGGAGUAGAGAUCCACCUGCAGCCUCUGGAGAACCCCAUGCUGGAUCGAUGGAUGCCCAAAGGAGGCUGUGAGAAGCCAGCACUGGAGCAGGCUCCUGGCAGAACCUGUGGAUCCAUGGAGAGAGGCGUCCAUGCUGGAGCAGGUUUGCUGGCAAGUCUUAUAAACCCAUGGGGGACCCACACUGGAGCAGCCUGUUCCUGAAGGACUUCACUCCAUGGAAGAGUCCUAUUCUGGAGCAGAUCACUGUUCCUGAAGGACUGGAGCAGCCUGCUCCUGAGGGACUUCACUCCAUGGAAGAGUCCUAUACUGGAGCAGAUCAUAAGGAACUGUGGCAAGGACUCACUUUGGAGAGGUUUGUGGAAGAUUGUCUUCUGUGAGAGGGAUCCCAUGCUGGAGCAGGACAAGUGUGAGGAGUCCUUUCCCUGAGGAGGAAGGAGUGGCAAAGACAACUUGUGAUGAACUGACUGCAGCCCCCAUGCCCAAAUCAGGAGUUAAGGUUGGCAAAAAGGGAAAGAGUCUCUCAAAGAUGUCUUGAAUAAUUUCAGUGAGGACCCAGGAUCCCAGGAGAUCAUUUACAGCUCUUUAACAAGGAAAAGGUAAGUUGUCUUCGAAGAGUUUACAGCAUGACCUGAAUGAUUGCUGGUUUUACAUUUUGUAGUUGCCUAUUUUUCUCUCUCUUAUGUUUGCUUUCCUGGAAGUACACUUAAGAAGCUUCUGUUUGACAACUGUUAUACCAAUAAUCAUGAUUUUAAAGAAUAACGCCAUUUACUCUUAUACCAGUCAAACAGUAUAUUACUGAACUUUUUUAAAGAAGUGUUUUAUGCUAGUGUUAAUUAGCGUUCAGCAAACCCAACUACCAGAAACACUGUCCCCGAGCGGAAAUACAGAUGAUCUCCUGUAAUACAUGUGUAAACUGGUAUUAGUGUCAGUUUCAUAUAAACACUAAAGCAAGACAAGAAAUAUUGCAAAGAUAAAUUAAUUAAUGUUGGUGAUCUGCUCCAAUGUUACAGUAAAAGGAAAAGCCUUUCUUUGAAUAGCCAGAAUGUUCUGCCCUGGGCUGCAUGUUCAGAUUGAAAUGAUGGGUUAAGAAUCAUUUACCAACUAUAAAAACGAUCCAGAGGCAUUCGUCUUUUCCUACUCAUCUGCUUUCUGACACCAGCCUAGGCCUAAGAAUCUUGGAAAGAUUUGGUAUCCAUUUAUUUUAGAUUUUGGAGCACGAUGCAUUUUCAAUGGGUCCUGAAGUGCAUGACCUACAUCACUGCAAGACUUUUUAAGUCUUCUGAACUACUUUCAUAGGGCAGUCCCUCACACAGAGUGACUGGAAAGAAGACACGUGCAGGUGGGAUGCAUUCCUUUCUUUGUUGCUCUUCUGCUAGAUUCUGGUAGGACUUUUCAUUCCUAUUUCAAUUAAGGCUUGUUUCAGCUUAAAAGCCCUCAUUUCAUUGUGACAGCCUCACAAAAUCUGGGGUGCUGUGCCCCAUCUCAGAACAAAAAGGGUUGCAAUCAGUAUUGUGGGAACAUACUGGGGUCUUGGAGAACAAAACAGGGAACAUGGCUGUGGACUUAAGGAGUAUAAACCGCAGGAGGAGCAGCACAACAGAGAAUGGUUGGAUCUAGAGUAGGAUCAAGCCUGCCCCACAGCCUCACACUGAGCUCCUGUGUGCCCCCCUGCUGCACCACCAUCACUGGGGCAGUGUGGUGAGGGCAGCGGUGGUACAACCCCACAGCUCGGGCAAACUCUACAGUGGGGCACACUUAAGAGUAGGGCUGCAGGAGAGCUCCAGAAGGGACAGCUUGCCCUGCUCAGCGAGCCCAGGUGCAAGGUCCCUCUGAUGUCUUAGACAGGGACGAGAUCCUGGUAUUAGGCAGCCCAGGGUGAGGAAUUGACACCAGGGCUAGGAGAUGUAAGAUUUAUUGGCCCACACAAAAAUUAGCUUUUCUCAAUCCAAAUUAGUGCUUACCAGCUGCCUCAUUAACAAAUAGGUAAUAUAAUGGGAAAAAAGUCAGAGGAAAACCUACCUUAAGGUGAAAGUAUUUUGUCUUGUUUUCUUUUUAGCUGGAGACCUGCUGGAAUCCAGAAAUGACAUUAAACUUUCUUUUAGAAGAGGUAAUUGAAAAGAAAAAGAUGAUCAAGGGAUGAACAAAUGAAGCCUUUUCUUACUGCUGUAUGAAUAAAAAUGUUGUUAAUAAGCCCUUUCAUUUCAGGCCUCCACUCUGCAGUCACACAUUUUGAAUGUAUAACCACACAGAUGAAAAUUUUUACCUCUAAGUCCUUCACAGCACUACAGAUGUUUUUGAAAAUAGAGAAAGGAAGCAAAGAAGGCAUGGACACACAGAGGACAGUGGGGAUAUAGAUUUAAUAAAAACCCUUUAAAAAUUACUUUCUUGUUUCUCAGUUUUCAGUAUUUGUAUUGCAUAACCAAUUCUUUUUCUAAGAA